rnacentral:rRNA from 1 species
CAGUAGCCGCGGUAAUACGUAGGUGGCAAGCGUUGUCCGGAAUUAUUGGGCGUAAAGCGCGCGCAGGUGGUUUAAUAAGUCUGAUGUGAAAGCCCACGGCACAGCCGUGGAGGGUCAUUGGAAACUGUUAAACUUGAGUGCUGGAGAGAAAAGUGGAAUUCCUAGUGUAGCGGUGAAAUGCGUAGAGAUUAGGAGGAACACCAGUGGCGAAGGCGGCUUUUUGGCCUGUAACUGACACUGAGGCGCGAAAGCGUGGGGAGCAAACAGGAUUAGAUACCCGUGUAGUCCCUGUCUCUUAUAC